rnacentral:misc_RNA from 1 species
AUUGCACAGGUCAUUAUAUCCUUCUCCCAACAAAAUCUUAGCAUUUUUGUGUGUGCUCUCAUACCUGCAGAUAAGGAUUUGCCUAAUCAGACCUCCUGAUCUCAGGCUACAUUCAUUGUCAAUUAUCUAAGAGUGCUGCAUGGAGUGCAAAUUUUGUUCAAUCCAACCACAUACCAUUUUCACUACACGGUAGCAUGAAUCUUUAACUAAAUACAUAGAU